rnacentral:rRNA from 1 species
CGUGUAGGUGUGUGUUCCAGGUAAAUCCGGUUCACUUUAACACUGAGGCGUGACGACGAGGCACUACGGUGCUGAAGCAACAAAUGCCCUGCUUCCAGGAAAAGCCUCUAAGCAUCAGGUAACAUCAAAUCGUACCCCAAACCGACACAGGUGGUCAGGUAGAGAAUACCAAGGCGCUUGAGAGAACUCGGGUGAAGGAACUAGGCAAAAUGGUGCCGUAACUUCGGGAGAAGGCACGCUGACACGUAGGUGAAGUGAUUUACUCAUGGAGCUGAAGUCAGUCGAAGAUACCAGCUGGCUGCAACUGUUUAUUAAAAACACAGCACUGUGCAAACACGAAAGUGGACGUAUACGGUGUGACGCCUGCCCGGUGCCGGAAGGUUAAUUGAUGGGGUCAGCGCAAGCGAAGCUCCUGAUCGAAGCCCCGGUAAACGGCGGCCGUAACUAUAACGGUCCUAAGGUAGCGAAAUUCCUUGUCGGGUAAGUUCCGACCUGCACGAAUGGCGUAAUGAUGGCCAGGCUGUCUCCACCCGAGACUCAGUGAAAUUGAACUCGCUGUGAAGAUGCAGUGUACCCGCGGCAAGACGGAAAGACCCCGUGAACCUUUACUAUAGCUUGACACUGAACAUUGAGCCUUGAUGUGUAGGAUAGGUGGGAGGCUUUGAAGUGUGGACGCCAGUCUGCAUGGAGCCGACCUUGAAAUACCACCCUUUAAUGUUUGAUGUUCUAACGUGGACCCGUGAUCCGGGUUGCGGACAGUGUCUGGUGGGUAGUUUGACUGGGGCGGUCUCCUCCUAAAGAGUAACGGAGGAGCACGAAGGUUGGCUAAUCCUGGUCGGACAUCAGGAGGUUAGUGCAAUGGCAUAAGCCAGCUUGACUGCGAGCGUGACGGCGCGAGCAGGUGCGAAAGCAGGUCAUAGUGAUCCGGUGGUUCUGAAUGGAAGGGCCAUCGCUCAACGGAUAAAAGGUACUCCGGGGAUAACAGGCUGAUACCGCCCAAGAGUUCAUAUCGACGGCGGUGUUUGGCACCUCGAUGUCGGCUCAUCACAUCCUGGGGCUGAAGUAGGUCCCAAGGGUAUGGCUGUUCGCCAUUUAAAGUGGUACGCGAGCUGGGUUUAGAACGUCGUGAGACAGUUCGGUCCCUAUCUGCCGUGGGCGCUGGAGAACUGAGGGGGGCUGCUCCUAGUACGAGAGGACCGGAGUGGACGCAUCACUGGUGUUCGGGUUGUCAUGCCAAUGGCACUGCCCGGUAGCUAAAUGCGGAAGAGAUAAGUGCUGAAAGCAUCUAAGCACGAAACUUGCCCCGAGAUGAGUUCUCCCUGAGACUUAAAGUCUCCUGAAGGAACGUUGAAGACGACGACGUUGAUAGGCCGGGUGUGUAAGCGCAGCGAUGCGUUGAGCUAACCGGUACUAAUGAACCGUGAGGCUUAACCUUACAACGCCGAAG